UACCAUAUUAGAAAUGAGCCACUCACCCCUUAAAAGGCCUCAUAAGGGGGAGGGUUAUCCACACUUAUAUAGAUUAGAUGAGAUCUUCACCAAGUCGAUGUGGGACGGAAUUUAGAGAAUUUAACAGCGAGCUUUCUGGAAUCUCUGGUACUUUCCCUCUCUAGCAUCCAUCACCGGUAGCGGCAUCAUAAGCCUUGAUAGUGUUGGUGAUCGUUUUUUGUUUAUUAAUUUUAUAUUUUCUGUGCUCUUAAAUUAUGGAAAUAGUUGUGAUAAUUUUAGAAAUGUUGUUCUUCAUUCGUAGCUGCAUCAUAAGCCUUGAUAGUGUUGGUAAGUUUGUUGUUUAGCAGUUAUAAAAAUCUCAAUUUUUUGAGAUAUGGUGUUUCUCUCAUAAACUUUGGAAAGAAUUCUGAUGCUUUUCAGAAGUUCUGCUCUUCAUUUGUAGCUGUGUCAUAUCCUAAAAUUCUAUAUUGUGCCUUAAGCUAAUCUUAUUUGUACCUUAAGAUUGUGACAUCAUGUUUACUUCUCAGUGACUUUCAUGUUGCUCCUACUUUCGUUGUCCUCAUGUUGCUCUUACUUUCGCAGUCCUCGUGUUGCUUUCAGUUCUUCUAUCUUUCGGCAUUUGUGAGAUUGGAUGAUUACAAAGCUUAAUUAAGUUCAAGGCAUCGAUCCAUCUUACCUGAUAUAUAUUCAGCCUCAGGGACCUUGUUUUAUUUGUUCCAAAAGUUUAGUUAAUCAAAAUUCAAGUUCGAACUAUAGUUUGGUUUAAAAGAAAGUUGUGUUGGAUUGGUUUAUUUGUAUGAAACUUCAGAUUCUUUGAAGCAAAUAUGUGUGAUAUUUUUAAUUUAACCCCCCAUAUCUGAGCCAUUGCUUGAAUCAUCAAAAUCAUAUUCAUUGUCUUCUUCAUUUCCAGUAGGUGGUUCAUAUUCAUCAAAAUCAUAUUCACUUUGCUGGUUUGGCUGGUAUUGUUGUCAAUUGUUAUGUUGUUUCUAUUUUUCAUGAAUUUGUUUUUUGUUUGCUUGGACCAUAACUUGAGUGGGUCUGUGCCUAUGUCCUAGGCUCUAUAAAUGUCCCAAUUAGUUCAAGUUGCAAGUUUAACUAUUUAAGUAGUUGUUUUGUCAAUUGCUUCUCCUCAAAUGGAAACCAUUUAUACAAGCUAGCAAAUCAAGCCAACUAUAUUGUUAAAUCAGAUAGUAGCUAAUGAAAUAACUUUUCUGCUGAAACAACAUGAUGAUCAAUAUCAUGUACAGCGCAGGGUCAAGUGAAGCUGAAGGUACUGUCUGGUGGCAAAUAUGUAUCAGUAAACAUAGUUACCUUGUGACAGUUAUUACUUAUUUAAGAUUGUGAAGUUUUAUGUGGAAAUUUAGCAAGAAAACGAAAGCUCAUUAGAUUAUAGUUAGUUGAGGUUUUGUAACAUUUAAAUAAUUUUGGUGCUGACCGAUCUUAUGGAGCCUGCUGCUGGUAGAGGCUUGCAACUCAAGAGGGCUUCUUUUAGACAUGUUUACAUUGCUUCCCAAAUCUAACAAGUGAAUUUUGGUUGAAAUAUUUCAGGGAUUUUUCCUUCAACAAUCUCAGUGGACUUGUGCCCACUUUUCCCCACAAAAUCAUUUAAGGAAAUCCUCAAAUUUGUUGAAGCCACUCUUCUGAAAAAUAUUCUGGACCAAAUCUUGUUAGCCCCCCUUGCAUUUUCAAGAACUCAAUCUUCAGGAGCAUUUUUCAUGGCCUUCUGACUGGGAGCAUGAGGUGAAGAAGAUGUGGCAUGAAAAAGCUGCAAGAAGAUACUCGGGUUUUAUCAGUUCCUUGAAGGUGAUGUACAAAGCCGGUAAAUCCCGGCCAAUUUAUGUACCUCUAGAAUCGUGGACUGGACUGAUAAACCAUUGGAAAGAUCAAAAUGUCAUCAACAGGUCUGAAGCUGCAAAGAGGGCAAGAUUGUCCGAACCUGAUGGACUAGGCACAGGAAUAAGCAUACAACGAGGAAUAAGCAUACUACGAUCUGCUAGCAUAAGAAGUUUUAGAAUUUAAACUGCAAGUUAACUAAGUGGGACAUGGAUGAUGAAUAGCAUAUAGUUAAUGGUGCAAUAGUAUCUAGUGACUCUAGUAAAGAUCACUAGAUACUUCUUCCCAUAAUACAUAAAAUGUCAUAAAUAAAUUCCAGUGACUCUUCAUGUAGUAGCAGACUAAAACGUGACAAACUGACAAAAUAAAACAUGCUCAGUACUGAUUUCAUGGACACGUUGUGUCUACUGUCUAGAAUGAUGGUUAUUGCAUAAUGAGAAGAAGAAACUUACAUUGCCUCUUGGUGAUUAGACUGAUCUCCAGACACUUCAAUCGUGCUUUUACUCAAACAAAAGAAUCAGCAGUGAUUUUUAUGAAUUGUUAAUAGCUAACUUUUGAUAUUUUGAUAAAUAGGCUGCCGAGAGGGGAGUAUCGAUCAUGGAUUGUGUGUAUGAAUCGUUCAGUGACAUACACACAGGUUCAAGGAUGACCGGUGUACAUACAAGAGAGCUGCAGACGUUGAUGCAAGAGUGCAAGAGAUUGCUGCAAUGCAGGGUGAGAACGCAAAUCUGAGCCAGAUCUUUAUCAAUGACGUUUUUGGAGGUAAGCUCGAUAAAAAGAAAAGGAUGUUUGGAACUGGGAAUCUGGCAAAAAGCCUUGUGGGUGGACGAACUCCGGGAUUGAAUGCUCAUGCCCCGACCGGCUUAGAUCCUUCUGUGCGAGCUAAGAUAAGAGAGGCAUUGCGCGCAGAAUUGCACGAAGAAUUGCGGGAAGAAUUUAAGGGAAUAAAUGCGCCAGGAGCUCAAUGCUGAUCGUUAGCAAAGAACAAAGUUGGAAAAUGAUGUUGCGAUGAUGCAAGAGAUGACGAGGCUGUUCAUGACGACAGCCCGCCAGUCCAGCCACGCUUCUGACAGUUCUGUAGGGAUAUGACCCAUGUAUCACAACUUUAUACGAUGUCUUUUGUUGCUUGUUUUGUAGGGAUAUGACAUCAUACAUUUCAUACUUUUGUUGCUUGUUUUAAGGGUGUCCACAAUGGUGGCCUUCAAAGGCCACCAUUUGUGGCCCGGUCACCAAUUGUGGCUCCCAUGUGGCCUUUGUAAUGACAAAUGUAAAAAACACAAUGCAAAUUCAAAGGGCCACCAAAUGUGGCCCUCUAAAAUGUUAAUUUUUUUUUUGCUUUUUUUUAA